AAAAAGUUGUCGAGCGAAACCCUCACACCGCACGUCCUCCACCUCCCUUCGCCUCCAGCGCCCCUCCUCCCUCUCCAGCGCCGCCACAGUCGCCUGGGCGACGCUCCCACCUACCACCCAUGGUUGAGGUCGGCGAAGCGGCCCAUCGCGCGGCGCCUGGGGACGUCGCCUCCCUCCGCCGCCAGCAGCGGCGACCGGCUAACAUGCGGUCGUCGCCGCCAAAACCGGAUGGCGUGCUGUCCGGCGAGGGGCCCGACCUGCCGCGCGGCAUCGCCUCCUCCACAUCCGCCCGCGGAUCGAGCUCCACAACCUCCAUCCCGACCUGCCUUUUCCUCCUCUCGCUUGUCAGAAAGGAGUGCAGGCCGCUGUUGCCCCACACGAGGUCAUCCUCCUCUUUGGUUUUGCUGAUUCCGAUGGCGUUGGCUCGACCUACAGUUUAUACCGGAACUUAAUCUGAAGGUCAGGACUUCAUGCCCUUUUCUCUUGAGCUGAAACGCAUGCAAGCAUGGCUGUUGACCGAGCCCUCUAAUUCAACUAUUCAGGUACAGAUUGAUUGGGUCAUGUCUGUAGUUUUUUUCAGUGCUGCAGGUUCAUGUUCUUGGGGAAAAAUCGUUGUCUAUUUCCUAUAUUGGUGAUGCGGGUGAACUGAUUUGGGUAUUAUAAUGAGCUUUUUCUCUUUGGUAAUUUCAUCGUCCACGAAAAUGUCGAUGUUAAAGCAUUUGGUCAUGAUGGAUCAUUUUACUGGUUCUCAGUUCAACUCAAGAUGGCUCAGAUAGGACCAAGUUUGAAUAUUCAUGUGUUGGAUAGGGGUUGGGGUUGGUCUCCUGCACAAGAGAUAUGUGAAGGUGCAAAUUGGAGCAGAAGAUUCGUCUAUGAUGCAGCAGCUCAAAGCUGAAGAUUUCGAAGGAUGUCAUAUCUGAGCAGAUAGCUGAUCUGAUUGGGGAUGCUGGUAAUACGGUUGUUGUUAUAAAGUCUAAAAGCUACAUGGGAAGAUCUCAGCAAAUACUUUAAGCCGCAAAGUAUCAAAGGGGAUUUCACCCUCUUGCCAUGCGCUGAGCCGCGGUGGGAGAAAGUGGGUGGCAGCGAGCCAGUGGAUUGGUCAUUGGUCAGUUGCCAUCUCUUCAAUUGGGUGAACUUCAUUACAAGAAAAAAGCAGCAAUUUGGUCAUAGUAAAUUGGGUGUCAUAUGAUUUCUUGGUUGACAUCCUUUUGUUUUCGCUGUGACUGUAACCCUACAUUUAAAUGACAAGGCAACUUCUCAGACCUAAAUCUUACAUGCAAAAUAUAUUGUAUACUUUUGAGACAGACUUUUUGUCCUCACAGGAUAACUGCUUGUUGUAUUUCACAAUGAGGACAUUUGUUUGGGGGGUGUAUCCUAGAGUUAAGGAUGCUUGGAUGGAAGUGGUGGCCUCACAAAGGCACCCUAAUGUGCGUAGGCAAGAUCGAAAUGCACAAAUACCUGCUCAGGUAUUUUCCAGUUAUUUUAACUUCUUGCAAUAUGUUGGCUGACACUUACUCGAUUCAGAUACAGUAUGUUGGCUGAAUCUUACUCCGUUCAGAUAUCUCUCUUCUUUGGCUCUUUGCUUUGGCUCGGAUAUGUCUUUGCAAAAGAAUUUUUUGCCACCAAUUAAUUUGCAAGGGCACAUACUAUUUGUAGCAGCGUACAAAAACUCAAUUCACCUCAUGCUUUUGUAGAAAUGGAUUGUCGCACGAAGUUGUCUCAGUUAGUAGACUAUAUUUGUUAACGUAUAGUUAUUUUUUGUGAGAAGUAAACAUAUAGUUUUUUGACGGCAGUAUACUUAUAUAAUAUUCUUAUUCUUGAGAUACUAAAAACAUUUUGGUUAAUUAUUACUUACUGUGACACUUCAGUAAGUCUUUUGAGUAGGCAAAAUCUCUCAAUUUAUAUUGCCAUAAUAGGCGAUGUCUCAUUCAUGGCAUCAAAUACAGCUUAUUUUAGAAUGGUACAUAUGUAAUGUUUGGCUUCCUUAUAUCAUGUAUGCUUUCCGUUUGCUGCAAACUAAUAGUUAGGUUGUAGUGUUUUCAUUCGCUCUUGGAAGUCAUAUCACAAGCACAUCCGUAGCUAUUGGCCUUGAACAUUUCACCUUCCAGGUAACUCGGAUGCUCACUACCACUCAGAAUCAGUGACUUGCCUUCUUACUAUGAUUUUUUUAGAAAACCUUCUUGCACUUGAUAAUGCGUCUUUUUAUGACACAUACGACUGUUUCUCCAGCACUGAUUUCCAAGCAACAAAAGUUGUGCCAAUGUAUGAUAAAUUUAUAUUUCUAGGCUACUCUCAUGUUAAUGUUGCUGUUUAUACAACUUAAUUAACAUGGGUCAUCGUCAUGUGUAAAUCUUCUGCUUUGAAUUCUCAUUUUGAUUUUCCACAAACUAUUUCUUUCCGGUAAAUUUAUAUUUCUUAUUGUAUUUACUAAAUGUCGAUUUGGGUAACCAUGCAUCAUACAAUUCAGAUUUUAGUUGCAGCCACUCUCAUCAUCAACGCUCAACAAUGGCCUCUUCUUCCGGUGCCCGAAGCAGCCGCAUACCCAUAUGCCUCGUGCUGAUUCUCUUGAUCGCCUGCGAGAAGUCAGCCAUCAUGCCGGUCGGCCAGCAAUGUGAAGGACCAGAUGAUCGUUGAUAAAUACGCGCUGUUCUGAUCAGAACUAUUGAUUUAUUGCAGUACGAUGUUGCCUCUUCAGUACAUCUGUGUUAGCUCUUUCUGUUACUAUCCAUUCUGUAAGCUCUAUUUGACAGGAAAAAGCCACUGAAGUUAGCGUUGCGUGCCUGAAAGUCUACAAGUAGUAGUCUGACAAGAGGGCGUUUUGAAAGAUGUUUGCUUGUUGUAGCUAUACCAGUUAUACCUCUACGGUAGGUAGCACUAGGGCAGCCCGGUGCAUGUAGCUCCCGCUUGCGCAGGGUCGGGGAAGGGUCCGACCACUUUGGGUCUAUAGUACGCAGCCUUUUCCUACAUUUUUGUAAGAGGCUGUUUCCAGGACUUGAACCCGUGACCUCAUGGUCACAAGGCAGCAGCUUUACCACUGCGCCAAGGCUCCCCUUCUCUACGGUAGGUAGCACUGUAUUUUAUUAUUUUUGUGGAUUUGGGGAGGAUUUUUAGCUCACUCUUUUUUUGUACCAAAUUAUCUGCAUUUGGCAGUGCUUUCAUAUUUCCCUUCUUUGGCUCUGAUGCAAUUAAACUUUGUUAUUGUAUGUUGAAAAUUCAGGUGAUGACCAAUCAAGAGGUUGUUGAUGAGAUCAACACCAGAGGGGCGGACAGGCAGCUGCGAAGCAUCUGACGGAGCAACUGGUGAAUAGGAGGAGCAUAGACAACAUCUCUUGCGUCGCUGUAAACGUCCGCUGCUAUGAGAGCUUCAGUCAGUGAACAAGAGGAGCAAAGACAACAACUGCUUCGUCAUCGUAAACUUCCACUCUUGGCCGAGCUUCAACCUGCUAGCCCCUUAUGCGUACAAUUAGUUAUAUGCCAGAUUGGUUUUACAAUUUUUUCUGUAGUUAUUCAUACGAUGUAGAGUUUAAUAUGGUUGGGGAUAAUCCACCACCCAAUGGGAUUAAGGUCUCUAAAAUAUUGUUGUUUGUUUGGUUAUCAGGUGUAAAUUCUAUUGCAAGUUCCUUA